rnacentral:rRNA from 1 species
UUUGAAGAGAGAGUUCAAUAGUACGUGAAACUGCUUAGAGGUAAAGGAACGGACCCUCGAAAUCCUGCGGCGGGAGUAUUCAGUCGAACGUUGUCUCAUUCGAAGUGGUUCUUCUAUCCUUACUGAACACGUUUUUUUUAAGCGAGUUCGAAGGCGAGUCCAUAGUUUUGGGCCCAGAUCGAAAGAGCGAUUGACGACGCAUUUGCUUCCCGUCCGAUGGACGUCGCAACCGAUUGAAAGACGGCCUUAAAGGUAGUCGAUGGCAGGUACCUGACUUGAGUUUCCCUUUCGGGGGUAGAUUCGUUAGUAUUAUAGCCGGUUACUGCCGCAUGGCUCGUCAUUCGAUCGAGGUAUCCCAAUUGUCCGGUCGCCGGACACUAUCGUCUCCUCUCCAUUUCGGAAUCCGGUCCAAAACAGGCGUCAUAGGAGUUUAAAUGGUCGGCGUGGCACACGGGCACGACCCCGUGGCUCGUUUGAUCAUACUCCUUGUUGGAUGCCGUGGGAUCCGUUGGAGCGCUGGCGGUUGGCGACGAGUAGAUCGGUCAUCCGUUCCACCC